CCUACGGGAGGCUGCAGUGGGGAAUAUUGCACAAUGGGGGAAACCCUGAUGCAGCAACGCCGCGUGAGUGAAGGAGUAUUUCGGUAUGUAAAGCUCUAUCAGUAAGGAAGAAGGAAGACGGUACCUGACUAAGAAGCCCCGGCUAACUACGUGCCAGCAGCCGCGGUAAUACGUAGGGGGCCAGCGUUAUCCGGAUUUACUGGGUGUAAAGGGAGCGUAGACGGCUGGGCAAGUCUGAGGUGAAAGCCCGUGGCUCAACCGCGGAACUGCUGUGGAAACUGGAUGGCUUGAGUACUGAAGAGGCAGGCGGAAUUCCUAGUGUAGCGGUGAAAUGCGUAGAUAUUAGGAGGAACACCAGUGGCGAAGGCGGCGUGCUGGACAGAAACAGACGUUGAGGCUCGAAAGCGUGGGGAGCAAACAGGAUUAGAUACCCGAGUAGUC
rnacentral:rRNA from 1 species